GACGAACGCUGGCGGCGUGCUUAACACAUGCAAGUCGAACGGAAAGGCCUGCUUUCCCUUGUGGAUUGCGGGUACUCGAGUGGCGAACGGGUGAGUAACACGUGAGUGAUCUGCCCCCAACUUGGGUAUAAGCCUGGGAAACUGGGUCUAAUUCCCGAUAGGACUGCAGUGUGGUGGUUUUGGUGGAAAACGAUUUUCUAGUGGUUGGGGAUGAGCUCGCGGCCUAUCAGCUUGUUGGUGCGGUAAUGGCCUACCAAGGCGGCGACGGGUAGCCGGACUGAGGGGGUGGACGGGCACAUUGGGACUGAGAUACGGCCCAGACUCCUACGGAAGGCAGCAGUGGGGAAUAUUGCACAAUGGGCGGAAGCCUGAUGCAGCGACGCCGCGUGGGGGAUGACGGCCUUCGGGUGGUAAACUCCUUUCGACCGCGAGGAAGCCACCUGGUUGGAAGGGUGGUGACGGUAGUGGUAGAAGAAGCACCGGCUAACUACGUG
rnacentral:rRNA from 1 species